rnacentral:rRNA from 1 species
AUACGAACGAGACUCUUUCCUGCUAACCACGGUAAAUGUGGCUCGUCGUGUGCGUGUGCGUGCGUGUUUUAACCGAUGCGUGCGUAUGCGUAUGCGCGGGUCACGUUGUUCCAAAGUAGACGGCGUGAUUCUAUAUUAAAGUCUUCAACGAACGCUUUCGUUCGACGUGUCGUGCGCGAGCGUGUCUUAACGGGUGCGCUCGCGUGUUCGUGCUCGGGUGUUUGCGAUCUGAAGAGUCCGCCGAUCCUGCGUAAUUAUUCGAGACUGCUCUUCACGCGCGCUUAUUCGGUACGAUCGUUUCCUUUCGUUGCUCUCUUUCGCGUAUGUGCUCGCGUAUGCUCUCGGGUGUGCGUGCGUGCAUUGUGUUUGGGGGUGCGAGGGGUGGUCCCCGUUUAUUGCGUUUCGCGAGUUGCCAGCAUAUCGAGUAUAUGCGCUGGAAGUUUUCUUCUUAGAGGUAUUGACGACUCACGUUCAAAGUCGUAAGAGACAAAGAGCAAUAACAGGUCUGUGAUGCCCUUAGAUGUCCUGGGCCGCACGCGAGCUACAAUGCCGGGUACAACGGGUAUAGUUUCCUUCUCCGAAAGGAGUGGGUAACCCUUUGAACACCCUUAUUACAUCGACGAUCUCGCUUAUAUGCGUCUCGCGCGUGUAUUCGCGAUACAUAUCGUCUGGCUCGCUUGGGCCUGGGGCUUGCAAUUCUUUCCCACUAACGAGGAAUGCCUUGUAGUGGCGGGUCACUGAGCUCGUGGCGACUCAGUCCCUGCCCUUUGUACACACCGCCCGUCGCUACUACCGAUUGAGUGUACCAGUGAGAUUCUUGGACUGGCGAACCUCGUAGCUCUCUCUCCCUCUUUAUCGAGUGCGAGAGGGAGUGAAAGAGGCGUACGAUGGGAAGAGACUCGAACUGGUGCACUUAGAGGAAGUAAAA